UGCCAUCGAACUCUGGCACUGGGUGAA
rnacentral:sRNA from 1 species